ensembl:lncRNA
GGCAAAAGCAAAAAAACAAACAAAAAAAUCUGAAUAAUUUUCUCAACAUAGAAAUAUAAAACAUGUUAUUUAUUCAUACUAUUAUACAUGUAGAGCCAUGUAGAAGAAAAUGUGUAGGAGUCUUGAAAAACAAUAUUCCUUAACUCUUUCCUUACCUAUAUUCAAGUGUUGAUAAAAAAAGAAUGCUUUAAGCUAGAAUAAAAUGGAUUUUUUUUUUGUUUAAAAGUAGAGGUACUGAUCUUUAUUUAGGUGUAUUCCAUAUUCAAAUAUUCAUACAGCAAAAUAUACUGGAGGCCAUCAAAUUUUAGUGAAAAUCAUCUAAAUCACUGGCAGUGGCUGGCAACUUUUUAAAAAAAUGCUGGUGGGGAAAGAGUUAAUUUAAAUACUGUAUUUUCUAUUAAUGCUGUCAGCAUUGCUUCUGAAAGGUUAAAAAAUAUAUGUUGCAACAUUGCUGGGAUAUAAUUUUUUUUAUAUAGUACACGGUAAAAGUUUGUCCCAUGUACCAUAUGAAAACUGUAUAAAUAUCAAAUGAAAAUGAACCACAAAUAUACAUUCUGAAAAGCCCAAACACACAGAAAGAUGUCUACUCUACUGCCCUAAUUCAUCAUGAAACACUUCGAUCCCCUCUCAGUCGCUCAUGCUGUGAUUGUCCUCAUAUCCUUCCAUCCAUCUCCAGUGCUAUAACUCAUUAAUCAUUUACACAACAUGAAACAGUAAUCGAAAUAAACCACAAUACUGCAUAAACAAUUCAUUUAAAGUCUCCUCUUUACCCAUCUCUCCAUAGCAACGGCUCAUCGCCGUGCAAAUUUGUGAUUUCAAAUACAGUCGCUAUUAAGCAUGGCACUCUCUCUCUUGCUAUCUUUCCCUAAUGUAAACAAGCGCAGGCAGACUGGUAUUAAGCGGCGCAGCUGAAAGCCCCGCCCCUCUCGUAGCUACACGGCCCGCUGGGUAUUUCAGCAACUCAUUGGAAUCUUCAAACAACAAAGAUAAACAAGUGUUCCAAUUAAGAUUUAAUUACUGCUCAGACACUCAACUGCUUCUGCUCACUCCGCUGGGAACAACUCAAACGUGUUGGGCCACAUCCACAGGAAGUCCAGGACUCCAGCAUGGGCCUUCUUUCAUCAUCUGACCUUUUCUGCCUGGAAGUCUCUGGUGUCAGGUGUCUCUGUCUUUCUUUGCUGACAGGUUCUCACUGACUUCUCACUGACAAGCUCUAACUUUAAAAGGUUUGGACUGGAUGUCACUGCGGACAUGUAGUAUAGAUUAAAGAUGAAGAUGAAGAGAAAAAAGAAAGCUA